rnacentral:rRNA from 1 species
GCACAAGCGGUGGAGCAUGUGGUUUAAUUCGAUGCAACGCGAAGAACCUUACCUGGGCUUGACAUCCCGGGAAUCCCUUGGAAACAAGGGAGUGCCCUUCGGGGAACCUGGAGACAGGUGCUGCAUGGCUGUCGUCAGCUCGUGUCGUGAGAUGUUCGGUUAAGUCCGCUAACGAGCGCAACCCUCGCUGUGUGUUAUAUGUGUCACACGGGACUGCCGGUCUUAAGCCGGAGGAAGGUGGGGAUGAUGUCAAGUCAGCAUGGCCUUUAUAUCCUGGGCUACACACACGCUACAAUGGCCAACACAAUAGGUUGCUAAGCCGCGAGGUGGCGCCAAUCCAUAAAGUUGGUCUCAGUUCAGAUUGUAGGCUGCAACCCGCCUGCAUGAAGAUGGAGUUGCUAGUAACCGCAGGUCAGCUAUACUGCGGUGAAUACGUUCCCGGGGCUU